rnacentral:rRNA from 1 species
GACGAACGCUGGCGGCGUGCUUAACACAUGCAAGUCGAACGGAAAGGUCCUGCUCUUGUUGGGUGCUCGAGUGGCGAACGGGUGAGUAACACGCGAGUAACCUGCCCUUGUCUUUGUGAUAUCUUCAGGAAACUGGGGCUAAUACCGGAUAGGAGCUCCUGCUGCAUGGUGGGGGUUGGAAAGUUUCGGCGGUUGGGGAUGGACUCGCGGCUUAUCAGCUUGUUUGGGGGGUAGUUGCUUACCAAGGCUUUGACGGGUAGCCGGCCUGAGAGGGUGACCGGCGACAUUGCGACUACGGGACGGAGCAGAAGCCAAUGGGAGGCAAGAGUGGGAAGUAUUACGGAAUGGGGGGAAGCCUGAUGCAACGACGCCGCGUGCGGGAAAACGGGCUUCGGGUUGUAAACAACUUUGGACUGUGCCGAAGAGUGAGUGACGGUAAUGAGUAAAAAAGCAACGGCUAACUACGUG